GCUGAAAUAGCUUAGUUGAGAGAGCGUUAGACUGAAAAUCUAAAGGUCCCUGGUUUGAUCCCGGGUUUUGCCA